CCCAAACUGCGCACAAUAGCUCGCCGGCUCCUCUAUCUAUUUUGUGUCCAGCCGGGAGCCGCGCUCGGUGAUUCAUUGCCCCAAUUAGGGGGCUCUCUCCAGCGCGCCAGGCUCGAGCCGUCUGAAGGGUCUCCUCCGGGACCCGCGAAAACCCAUCAGCCGCUAGAGCUGGUCUUUAAGUAAAGGUCAGGCAGGACGCCGGAGGAGCCAGGACCUGACUCUGGUGGUCCUGAAAAGCCACGACAGAUGCUCGCGGCAGCCCCCGCGCUGGCAGCGGGGAGACAACACCCACCUCGGGGCCGGAGGAGACCAGAAGGCCGUCAGCGCGGAACAUCUGGGCACAUCUCAAAUGUGCGGCUUCCUGUAGGGUCGCCUUGGCCCGGAAACCACAGGAAUCUGCCCUCGCGCUGUGGGGGAGAGCGAGUUUCCAGGCUCUGAGCACUUAUCACACGUCGUUUUGUGUGUCUGCCUCUGGGUGGCUUCCCCUGCACUGUCCCACGGCGUCACAGGGCCAGGGACACGGCUGGGGCCUGAUCCACGCUUGAACAGGGGUUGCCAGACUCUAUCCAAAACCUCACGGCGCUUUCCAAGUUCCAGCAUCGCCUGGCUGCUCCCGGCAGCUUCCAGUCUUGCAUUUCUCCUGCUGCCAGUGAUUCAGACCAAAGCCUUCCACGUGCCCCCUGCCUCCCCCGACCCCAUCAGCUGACUUCCCUUCUCACUGGUACCCGCGCCCGUUUCCUCCUCCCUCCACCCACAUACCCCCCCCCCAGGACCCGUUUACCUUCGGAAGCUGCUCCCCCCGGUUCCUCUUUUAGAGGCUACGAGCGUGCUGUGUGUUUGGCCUCUGGCUCACGGAGGACCAGAAAAACAAAAUUUAUCAUCUGACUGUCCUAUUUUUUUUUUUUCUUUCUUUCCAUUUUAUUUCCCCCUAAGAAUGAAGCCAGCACUUCGCCGCCAUGCUCCGAGGGAGCAUCAGACAUGGCAGGCCACAGGCAAAAGCGUCUCCUCCUCCUUAGAGAGAAGGAAUGCAGCCGUUAACAAUAAAAAAAAAAAAA